rnacentral:rRNA from 1 species
UACGGGGGGGGCAAGCGUUGUUCGGAAUUAUUGGGCGUAAAGAGCUCGUAGGCGGCUUGUCAAGUCGGGUGUGAAAGCCCGGGGCUUAACCCCGGGUCUGCAUUCGAUACGGGCUAGCUAGAGUGUGGUAGGGGAGAUCGGAAUUCCUGGUGUAGCGGUGAAAUGCGCAGAUAUCAGGAGGAACACCGGUGGCGAAGGCGGAUCUCUGGGCCAUUACUGACGCUGAGGAGCGAAAGCGUGGGGAGCGAACAGG